UCCCUGGUAGUAUAUCGGUUAGUACACGCGCCUGUCACAAAAUCGUCGGACCGUUGCGCGCGAAAGCUGGGUUCGACUCCCAGCCAGGGAG